UGGAAUUUAUCCUGGCUCAGGAUGAACGCUGGCGGCGUGCUUAACACAUGCAAGUCGAACGAUGACCCCGUGCUUGCACGGGUGAUUAGUGGCGAACGGGUGAGUAACACGUGAGUAACCUGCCCCUGACUCUGGGAUAAGCCCGGGAAACUGGGUCUAAUACUGGAUAUGACCUUUGACCGCAUGGUUUUUGGUGGAAAGAUUUAUCGGUUGGGGAUGGACUCGCGGCCUAUCAGCUUGUUGGUGAGGUAAUGGCUCACCAAGGCGACGACGGGUAGCCGGCCUGAGAGGGUGACCGGCCACACUGGGACUGAGACACGGCCCAGACUCCUACGGGAGGCAGCAGUGGGGAAUAUUGCACAAUGGGCGAAAGCCUGAUGCAGCGACGCCGCGUGAGGGAUGACGGCCUUCGGGUUGUAACCUCUUU
rnacentral:rRNA from 1 species